UCUUUGCUAGUAUAUCGGUUAGUACACGCGCCUGUCACGGCCAUGAAUUUCCAUAACGUCGCGCGCGCGAAAGCUGGGUUCGACUCCCAGGCAGAGAG